UUUAAUUCGAUGCAAAGCGAAGAACCUUACCAGAGCUUGACAUGCCGUGAAUCCUCUUGAAAGAGAGGGGUGUCUUCAGGAACAUGGAUACAGGUGGUGAAUGACUUUAUCAGCUCAUGCUAUAAGAUGUUGGAUUAAGUCCCGUAACGAGCACAACCCUCAUGUUUAGUUGUCAACAUUGAGUUUGGGUACUCACCAUUCAUAGAUAAAGUUGAUGUCGAUUUAAAAUCUCAAGACCUUUAAGAUAAGAAAAA